rnacentral:rRNA from 1 species
AGCGAACGCUGGCGGCAGGCUUAACACAUGCAAGUCGAGCGGGCACUUUCGGGUGUCAGCGGCGGACGGGUGAGUAACGCGUGGGAACGUGCCCUCUGGUUCGGAAUAACUCAGGGAAACUUGAGCUAAUACCGGAUACGCCCUUUUGGGGAAAGGCUUGCUGCCGGAGGAUCGGCCCGCGUCUGAUUAGCUAGUUGGUGAGGUAACGGCUCACCAAGGCGACGAUUAGUAGCUGGUCUGAGAGGAUGAUCAGCCACACUGGGACUGAGACACGGCCCAGACUCCUACGGGAGGCAGCAGUGGGGAAUAUUGGACAAUGGGCGCAAGCCUGAUCCAGCCAUGCCGCGUGAGUGAUGAAGGCCUUAGGGUUGUAAAGCUCUUUUAUCCGGGACGAUAAUGACGGUACCGGAGGAAUAAGCCCCGGCUAACUUCGUG